UAGUUUGUGUGUGAUAUUUGAGGCAUGAUGACGUUUUUAAAACUUUCCUCUGGUUCCUCAUCCGGGUAUCGCAUUAACUUCUCACAGCACGUGCAAUUACACGGACAUCAAGAGAAGACUCAAGGUACCACACAAUAAGAUCAAAGAACAUCUCAGGGCUCCCCCAUGCAGAAGAGCUACUGGUUGAAAGAACGAGAUGCAGAGGAGGUGAAGGAGAUAAAGGAAACAAAGACCUGGGUGUUUGAUGGAUGCUCGAGGACAACAGAUGUCUCUGCAGUAUCUAGAAACAUCAGUCUUGGUUUACAGAUUACUGUAAAUUCAGUGCUCCUGAAGUAAAAUCUGACACUUUUGUAUGAUGAUCCAGAGCCGACACGUGCGGGUAUUUGCAAUCUUUGGGAUUAAAGUGUUUGUCGAAUGUGUGAAUGCAUAAAUAUAAAUGAAUGCAGACUUCCAGGAAAUCCUGUCUAGUGCUCUCCAACUGUGAAACGGUGUCUUUAAUUUGUGUGUGGUUAGGGCAGGAGGUCAGGAAAUCUACUUCUGUUUUGAACUCAUUUCGUGUGCAGUGAGAGCACGGCCCGUCCGGAUCUGUCUGUACCUGUGCCUGUUUCUAUGGUGAGGCCGUGUUCACUGAGUCUGUACAUUGUCAAGGCUUUUCUUAGCUUAAGGAUGUUGACAGCAGACGACUUUUCCACUGUGCCGUCUACUGAACUGUUGCAUUUUUAUUUGCUACUGUAGGUUUGGUUAUAAUUUUAGUCUAGUUGUAUUCCCAAGAUUUAACCCUGCAUUCUAAAUGAGUAUUAACCAGAUAUAAUUAUAUUUGUAGUAGAAGUAUUUGUGAUUUGUCUUGCUGUGAUUCCUAUGAAGUCAGUAUUGUAAUAUUGAAAGGCGAACAUCACUGUUUAUACAGUACAGCUCAUACUGUCUAAAUAA